CCAGCUAGUUCAACUCUAAAGAUUUUUUAUAUAAUUUUGUUCCAAAACAACGUUGUUUUUUUAAAUAAUAAAACUAGGUGUUUUCUUAUAGACUUGAAACAUAUUAAGAAUUGAUUACUAUUACCUGACCUGUCAUAUAUUAUUGUCGAUAAAUUCUCCUGCUUUUCAAGUCAUGCAGAUGACGCAUGUACUCGGUAUCCACCUGAUGUGAACGCAGCAACACCGAGCGUCUGACGCAAUGCGUAGUAAAAACUUCUUUCAUAACAAAAAUGUUCAUUUACUUUGAAAAUUUGAGACUUUUUUUUUAUGUGUGAUAUUAGCAUAAAAAGAUUAAUAUUUCAACGAAAUAAAAAAAUUGAAAAAUAUUUUUGAUCAAAUAAUAUAAUUUAUAUUUACCGUGAUUUUAUAAAGAAAUUAUAAUUAAAAAACACGACAUUAAAUAAAUAAUAUAUUUACAAAACACGAUUUUUUUUAUAUAAAACAGCAUUAAAAAGGGAGGUUCGAGUUUAAUUUAACGAAAAACUAAAAUUGUUCUAUUUUGUCAAUAAUUUUAAUUUGUUGUGCUAUUUUUUUUUUAAACCACUUUUUUUCUUCUUUUUCCUUUCUCUUUUUUAUUAAAUUGUGCAUAUUUCUAAAGUUGGUUUCUUUUAGUUCCUUGGAUCUUAGAGCAUCCACAUCCAUGCAUAAAUUUUAGCUAAAAUAUCAUUUUAACUAGCUUUCUAAAAAAUGUAAUCAUAUUCAUGCUCUUUAAAAUACAAAAAAUCAUGAAUAUUUUAUUAUUACAUGUGAGGUGAAAGAUGAAUAUUGAAGUGUAUGCUAUUUCCUUUACUAUGGCAUUUCCCCAAUCCACUAAGGUUAUUUCUUCAUUUGCAGAGACCACUAUGGCCUCCAAUAUCCACUUGUAGCUUCCCGGUGAACCUAUUAUUUUUCAAAUUAAUGACUCUCAAAUCAUACAAAUUUGCAGUUCCUUCAGGAUUCCCUCCUUCCAACAAGUUAUCAGACAGAUCAAGAGAAUGCAGCCCCCUCAAAUACAUAAUUCAGAUGGCAAUUCUCCACAAAGGCCAUAUUCCUCGUGUUUCCGUGUCCCUGCCAUUCCAAAGCAAAAGGGGGAGACAUCUGCUUAUACUAAAGCUGUUAGCUGUGCAGUAUUUGAAUAUCCAGUUGCUUCUAACUGAAAUAGCAUUGGAUCAGAGCAGAGCACCUUCAAUGAAAAUAUGAUUAACUCAGGAACCCGCGAAUUAAUAGUAUACUAAUUGCCUAAAUAUAUUGAUGUGUUCAGUGACAAAAAAAAAAGGAAACGUGCUGGAGAUAUGAUUGCUGUCAGAAUAAGAUAACAUAUCUUAAGGAGCACAUGAGGUAGCGUUGCUUUUGUAGUUUGGCUUGAAUACUAUCAAGCCAAGAACUUUCAUCGUCGAACGUUGAGUCCAAACAAUAAGCACGGACAUUUUACUAAAAACCAUUUUGGCAAUUGAGGAUUCAACUUCGCUAGCACCACAGAUUAACUAUUGUACGGGAUCGCCAUAGUUGAACUGUUAAUUGCUAGGAAAACUAAAGCCAGGAAUAAAAGACAAGACUCAGAUGCCAUGGACGAUCUUUUUUUCCUGUGACCUCUUCUCUCGCGUCUUUUCCGAAAGCCAAUUGAAGAGUACUACAGUAUAUAUAUAUAGCGAAUACUGUUCAUUUUGCUAGAAUAGCUAGAAAGUAGAGAGCAAUAAUGCUGUUUUCUUUUAACUCCCACAGGCUAUUAUAGCUGAGAAUUGGGUUUGGCUAGCAAGGGUAGAAACCUUAUUCUGCAGUAAGCACAAGCCCCAUUACCAAUUCAAACUUAAUUUUGACAGAUUUUCUCAGUUUUUAAUUAAGUCAUCCAUGCGAAAAUUUCUUAUUAGAUAAAAAUGGGCUUUCCUUUUCCAAGUUGUCUUGUACUAUUUUGCACUCUCACUGUUGAGUAUUUGCUAUUCUUUUGAUGUUGUACAAAGGAUACAGCACCUGCUUCUCAGAUUCUCUUAAAUUUAAGUCAUGCAACUCUAACUUCUGAUGCAAUGCUUCGUUUUGUUAGUUGAUUGGAAGGCACAAUUUCUUUUUUUUCUGGUGCGAUUACUGAGAUAUUUCGUAAAAAACUGUUUUGAUUCACUUCACAUAUGCUUGAACUUCUUUUCUUUUCAUUCUCAUGUGAAUCUGUCUUAAAUAUUGUUGGCUUUACAAUCUCAUUUUGCCAAUGACUUGGAGGAUAGAGUGGGUUUAAAUGCUAAGACAUGCAUAUUGUUGAUACAGUAUGCGCACAUUAAUUCAUGCAGUUAGGUUAUCAUAUAUGAUGCUGACGAAGACACAGGAUACAUUUUUUUGUUCUUCUUGACAUUUUGGGCCACUCAGAUUUCCCUUACAGGCAUUGCCGUAUUAGUAUGAACUCUAACAAUUCUAUUACUUUUGCGCAUAUCUCUGGAAUUGCCAUAUGUAAUAGUGCCUUGUUCUUUUUCAACAUGAACUUAGAAAUGCUUGGCAUUCAUCCUCGUACGUAGAAUGUUCUUAUGUUUUCUUACAGUUUCUUAUGAACUGUCAGGUAACAUCUGUCCUAUAAUGAAGCGUUGUUGUUUUCUGAAAAAUACCAGCAUUGCAGAAAAUCAGGGGUCAUGAUGGAAUUAUGAAUUUAUCAGUUUAUUUGUCUUCAGUGUUUUUGCUUUUUUUCCUUUUCUUUAUCGUGCUUUUUCUUUGCAGAUAGACAAGAAUAUUAGCUUUGAAUGCAGCUUAUCUCCUCAAAACAGGAGGUCAUUUUGUGCUCUCAAUAAAGGCAAAUUGCAUCGACUCCGCCGUGCCCGCUGGUAAAGCAUGCGAUAGUGAAGUUGCCAUGUUGAGGGCGGAUCUGCCGAAGCCUGCAGAGAUGGUGACAUUAGAUCGAUUUGAGCGAGACCAUGCCCGCGUCAUCGGAAGUUACAGAGUGCCAAAGAAACAAAAAAUCGCUGCCUAACAACUGUUGGAUGUUCAGCACUUGGAUCCCGGCUUCCUCGACCAUUUAGCUUAAAAGUUAAAAUUACCGUUCUGGGUUUUGCUCGUUCAUUUGAAUAGUUUGGCAGACAAAAUAAUUUAAAAUCAAAAAAUCAAAAUUUAUUAAAAUUGCGGUGCAUACACAGCCCUGUUCGAGCACUUUAAUGAUCUUGGAGUCGUCGUUUUCACUCUAUGGUCAUCGUGUGUAGGUACUAGUACUUUCAGUUGCCAAAUGGUUCUUUCAGUAGUGGAUUAUGCUCGUCUGCAGAACGUAUGUGGAUAAGAAAUAGACAGCUGACCAUCUUGAUUAGAUUUUAGGUGGCUGGCAGUAAAGCUACGCGAGGACAUUUUGAGGAUAGACAAUUGUUAUAUUAAUAAAUGCUGAAAAUCAUAGUAAUAAA